rnacentral:rRNA from 1 species
GGGAAUAUUGGACAAUGGGGGCAACCCUGAUCCAGCAAUGCCGCGUGUGUGAAGAAGGUCUUCGGAUUGUAAAGCACUUUCGGCGGGGACGAUGAUGACGGUACCCGCAGAAGAAGCCCCGGCUAACUUCGUGCCAGCAGCCGCGGUAAUACGAAGGGGGCUAGCGUUGCUCGGAAUGACUGGGCGUAAAGGGCGCGUAGGCGGAUGACUGAGUCAGAUGUGAAAUUCCUGGGCUUAACCUGGGGGCUGCAUUUGAUACCGGUUGUCUAGAGUUCGGAAGAGGGUCGUGGAAUUCCCAGUGUAGAGGUGAAAUUCGUAGAUAUUGGGAAGAACACCGGUGGCGAAGGCGGCGACCUGGUCCGGGACUGACGCUGAGGCGCGAAAGCGUGGGGAGCAAAC